GCCGACGUAGCUCAACCGGCAGAGCGGCGGUUUUGUAAACCGCGGGUUGCGGGUUCAAGUCCCACCGUCGGCUCCU
rnacentral:tRNA from 1 species